GGUGGGGUUCCCGAGCGGCCAAAGGGAGCAGACUGUAAAUCUGCCGUCAUCGACUUCGAAGGUUCGAAUCCUUCCCNAGCGA
rnacentral:tRNA from 1 species